UACGUAGGCAGCAAGCGUUGUUCGGAGUUACUGGGCGUAAAGGGUGUGUAGGCGGUUCCUUAAGUUUGCUGUGAAAUCUCCCGGCUUAACCGGGAGGGUGCGGUGAAUACUGAGGGACUAGAGUACGGGAGAGGAAAGUGGAAUUCCUGGUGUAGCGGUGAAAUACGUAGAUAUCAGGAGGAACACCGGUGGUGUAGACGGCUUUCUGGACCGUAACUGACGCUGAGACACGAAAGCGUGGGUAGCAAACAGG
rnacentral:rRNA from 1 species